UUUUAGCCUUUGUCCUACUCUUUGGUAUGUCGCUAAACAAGCUGAGCAUUCAGUAAACUAUGCUCUUCCGAUUCUUGCAUAACACUCCAGAGUACAGUAGUCUUUUUGUUUUGGAGGGACAAGCUAAAGAGUGUUCUCGUUUAUGUUAUGGCAAAUAAUCUCAGAUGUUAUAUAGGUACAUAUGUACUACUACACAUUUUUAAAAUAUUUUACCUAAGUCAGCUCAUAAUUAUACGUGGCAUUGAGAAGAAAAUGCUGACUGAAACAAAACGGUGAAAACAAUAAUAGUUUUGGAAAUGUAAUCCAAAAAUACACUCAGAUCUAUGUCAACACGUGCUUGGGUCCUAAGUAAUUCAGUAACUCACGCAGGCUCUUUGUCAGUUCUCCCUAUGUUAACUGAGCCAGGGUGAUGGUAGGACGUGCCUGGGAUGCUGCAGAUAAUCCACUGUUUAUCAAGUCUUGGCUGACCUUUAGUAAGUGGCCAUUUGUCAAAGGAGGCAUUAAAGAUAGCUCUUAAAUCCAUUUGAUAUUUAUUUAAGAACUUGAAGAUCCUCCAGCUGGAACACCAGUGUGCCCAGGUAUGUAAUGCAAUAUUCAUAAUAGAACAUUCUCAAGUUCUUUGCCUUCCAUAAUCAAUUCACAAAGUGUCCUUCCUAUUUGCACCCUUGUGCCUGAGCAUCAGUUCAAUAAAGAACUUAUUUACAACUGCAGUACUUCUAAAAAUUGUACUCCACAAAUCCUUGGGAAGACAAAUGCCAUUGAUCCCAAUGUCACAUUCAGGAAGUCACUGAUCCAAGUACCAUAUUCAGCAAAUUCCCAGGCAUGACCAAACUUGCUAGAAAACCAAAAAGGGAAAAUCUGGGAAGUAGGCCAAGAUCCUGGGUGUCAUUGUACAGCAUUCAAGCCAACUCUGGUUUCAAAAUUCCUUUGAAAUUGUUACUCCAUGAUAGGAAUGCAUUCUGUGCUUGGCCACAGAUCAUCACACAAGAAAUACAUUUGCAGAAUAGUUGCUGCACAUUGCUGGCUUUUUGCAAUAGGAAAAUUUCAUCCUUGGUAGAAGAGUAUGUUUUGUUUUUCAAUUUGUGUAAAAUCUGCUGGUGAGGCAUUACCAAAUAGUAGAUACAAAACCAGUUUAGGACUUUUUAUCAUAUGUAAUCUUGGGCUAAUCCUUUAUCUUCUAUCUUCCCUGCUGUUUCCAAAGAUGCUGUGAAGAAUCAAUAAUUGUUAUAAGCAUCAGGAAGACAUGACUGAAAAGAACAAUAAGAAAUGUAAUCUCAAGAGACGAAAUAUGAUUGAAGAAGAAAUCAGUUUUCCUGUCUCAUUGGACAUGAUUGUGUUUAAGGGGAAUCUUCAUGAUCACAGCAGUCUCAACAACCAAUAUGGGACUUGAACUCACAAUACUGAGAUCAAGAGUCACAUGCUCGCACCAAAAACCACAAAAUACCUAGGAAUAAAUCUAACCAAACAGGUGAAAAAUCUAUACACUGAAAACUAUAGAAAGCUUAUGAAAGAAAUUGAAGAAGACACAAAAAAAAAAAAAUGGAAAAAGAUUUCACGCUCCUGGAUAGGAAGAACAAAUAUUGUUAAAAUGUCAAUACUACCUAAAGCAAUCUACAUAUUCAAUGCAAUCCUUAUCAAAAUAACACCAGCAUUCUUCACAGAGCCAGAACAAAUAAUCCUAAAAUUUAUAUGGAACCAGAAAAGACCCUGAAUAGCCAAAGCAAUCUUGAAAAAGAAAAUCAAAGCAGGAGGCAUCACAAUCCCAGACUUUAAGCUAUACUACAAAGCUGUAAUCAUCAAGACAGUAUGGUACUGGUACAAAAACAGACACUCAGAUCAAUGGAACAGAAUAGAGAACCCAGAAGUGGACCUACAAACGUAUGGCCAACUAAUCUUUGACAAAGCAGGAAAAAAUACCCAAUGGAAUAAAGACAGUCUCUUCAGCAAGUGGUUCUGGGAAAACUGGACAGCGACAUGCAGAAGAAUGAACCUGGAUCACUUUCUUACACCAUACACAAAAGUAAACUCAAAAUGGAUGAAAGACCUAAAUGUAAGACAGGAAUCCAUCAAAAUCCUUGAGGAGAAAGCAGGCAUAAGCCUCUUUGAUCUUGGCCACAGCAACUUCUUACUCAACACGUCUCCAGAGGCAAGGGAAACAAAAGCAAAAAAUGAACUACUGGGACCUCAUCAAAAUAAAAAGCUUCUGCACAGCGAAGGAAACAAUCAGCAAAACUAAAAGGCAACCGAAAGAAUGGGAGAAGAUAUUUGCAAACGACAUAUCAGAUAAAGGGUUAGUAUCCAAAAUCUAUAAAGAACUUAUUAAACUCAACUCCCUAAAAACAAAUAAUCCAGUGAAGAAACGGGCAAAAGACAUGAAUAGACACUUCUCACAGGAAGACAUCCAGAUGGCCAACCAACACAUGAAAAAAUGCUCAACAUCACUCAUCAUCAGGGAAAUACAAAUGAAAACCACAAUGAGAUACCACCUCACACCUGUCAGAAUGGCUAACAGUAACAACUCAGGCAACAACAGAUGUUGGUGAGGAUGAGGAGAAAGAGGAUCUCUUUUGCAUUGCUGGUGGGAAUGCAAGCUGGUGCAGCCACUCUGGAAAACAGUAUGGAAGUUCCUCAAAAUAUUAAAAAUAGAACUACUCUGUGACCCAGCAAUUGUCCUACUAGGUAUUUAUCCAAGGGCUAUAGGUAUGCUGUUUCGAAGGGACACAUGCAUCCCAAUGUUUAUAGCAGAACUCUCAACAACAGCCAAAGUAUAGAAAGAGCCCAAAUGUCCAUCAAUGGAUGAAUGGAUAAAUAAGGUGUGUGUGUGUGUGUGUGUGUGUGUGUGUGUGUGUGUGUAUACACACAAUGGAGUAUUACUUGGCAAUCAAAAAGAAUGAAAUCUUGCCAUUUGCAACUACGUGGAUGGAACUGGAGGGUAUUAUACUAAGCAAAAUUAGUCAGAGAAACACAAAUAUCAUAUGACUUCACUCAGGACUUUAAGAGACAAAACAGAUGAACAUAAGGAAAGGGAAACAAAAAUAAUAUAAAAACAGGGAGGGGACAAAACAUAAGAGACUCAUAAAUAUGGAGAACAAACAGAGGGUUGUUGGAGGGGUUGUGGGAGGGGGGAUGGGCUAAAUGGGUAAGGGGCAUUAAGGAAUCUACUCCUGAAAUCAUUGUUGCACUGUAUGCUAACUAAUUUGGAUAUGAAUUUUAAAAAAUUAAAUUAAAAAUAAAUUUUUAAAAAAGUCACAUGUUCUACCACCUUAGCCAGCAAGGUGCCACCUAAUUUGGUUUCUUAUUGGUAAGGCUAAGCAUCUUUACCUGUGUUUGAGAGGCAAUGGUAUUUUCUGUUCUGUGAGCUCUGUUCUCUGCCCAUUCUCUAUUGUACUAUUGGUUCUGAUUUGUUGAACUCUAUGAAUUAAGGAAAACAGCCCUUUGUCAAUGUAUAUAUAGAAAAUUUUUGUCAGUUUGUUUUUCUUCUCCCCAUGCAUACAAUGUUUAUUUCAUACAGAAUUCUUCUUAGUUUUCUGCUAUUGAAGUUAACUUUUCACUCCUGGCAUCUAGAAAGUUUAGGUUUUAUAGUAUUUCCCCUGAAAUUAUGAUAAAUUUCCCCAAUAUUCCCCCAUAUUUUCUAUAUAAUAUGUAUUAUUUUGCAUUUAGCAUUUAUAUCUGUGACCCAGCAGAAUUUUCUGUAGUGGUAGGAUCUAGGCUCCACCUUUCUCCAGAUGGUUAUCCAGUUAUUCCCACACUAUCUUACUGAAAAAUCCAAUCCUCACCCCAUGAAGCUGAAAUGCUACCUUUAUCAGAAACUUAAGUUUUCAAAUAUAUUUGUAUAGUGAUUUAUUGCUGCAUAAUAAAUCAACAUCAAUUUAGUGACAAAAAUAACACACCUUUAUUACCUUGCAUUUUCCGUGGGUCAGGAAUCCAGGCAUGGGUUAGCUGGGUCCUCUGCUUUAGGGCUUUUCACAAAGCUCCAUCAAAGUGUCAGCUGGGGCCGGGGUCUCAUCUAAGGCUUGACUGGAGAAGGAUAUGCUGCCAAGCUCACAUGGCUGUUGACAGGAUUCAGUUUGUUGUAGGUUGUCAGAUUGAGGGCCUGGCUUCCGGCUGGCUGGCUGCUGGAAGCCA